UUUACAUAUCUAAUAUCCACUAUCCAACCCAAUUAACCAAAAAUUUCCAAAAUUCAAUCAAAAGCUCCCAAAAUUCCCAAAAUCAAAAAUUUCCCAAAAUCUGCUCGAUGCCUCUGCAACUCUGCUCGUCAGUCCCCACUCCAGUCCGGUAGUCAUCGCCACUCGCCUGUCAUCUUCUUCAGCCUUCAGGUUAGUGGCCACUUGCUAGUACGACUUCUGCCGACUACAGCUCUUCUUCAACUCUUCUGCUCAUGACUGCUGGAGAAUGGUUCGAUUUGGAGAGCGAAGUCGUUUGCUGCUUCUGGAAUGGUGGAACCCAAGUUGGUGAAGUGGUUUUCAACACUUCAUUAACCGAGUAAAAAUUAAGAAUUUACUAUGAAUUUAUUUCCAUUGUUUUUGUGAUUUGUGAAUAAUGUUGGCUGAUAAAGAAUUUUUAUCCUCCACUUGCAAGUGGGUUUGUUAGAAAUGUGUGGAAUCCAUUUAUGUUCCAACAGAUUCAUUUAUCAUUUCUAGUCCACAGAUUGAAAUUGGAAAGAAGGUGGGAUCAAGCUCAUGGUCUCAAGGCUUGUGAGUUGUGACGAGAUCAUACUCAACAGUGUAAUUCCACAAUUAUCGUCAAAAUUUCACUUCUCAGGUUAAUCAUUGGACAUUAGAUACAGACUCAUACACUAUGCCUCCUAAAUAUGAGUCUGGUGCUCAAAAGAGGAAAAGGAACCGAAAUGAAAUUGCAUUGAUUCAAAGUCAAGUAGGGGAUAUUAACAAGUACUUCAAAAGCAACAAUGUGAAUGCGUUGAAUGAUAAUGAAGUAGAGAUUCAACCUGCCCAUGUUAAUGAAGUAGAUAGUACGGAUGAAGAAGUGAGACAACCUGACUAUGUUAAUGAAGUAGAUGAUAAAGAAGAAGAAGUGGUGAAACCCGCCUCUAAUAAUGAAGAAGAUGAUAAGGAAGAAGAGGGUUCCUUUUCUCUAAAUUUGGAUGAUCCCGGGAAUUGGAAAAUCAUUGAUCAGACAACAAGGGAUUACUUAGUUGAAAGGGGUCCAAAAAGAGUUGAUAACAUUUCAUUUCCAAAAGAUUGAACAAAUAGACAUUUCGAUUCUUCACAAUAUAAGCGACUGCUACGAAAUGGGCAAACAAUUGAUAGAAGAUGGCUAGUAUAUUCAAUAUCUAUGGACAGGAUCUUCUGCUUUUGUUGCAAGUUAUUUAAAACACCUAAAAAUGUGACCAAAGUUAGCCAACUAGGUAAUGAUGGAUUCAAAGAUUGGCAUAAUUUGCAUCGGUCUAUGAAAAGUCAUGAAGGAAAUGAAGACCAUUUAUGUUGCAUGAUUGGCUGGAUUGAAUUGGAAAAUAGGCUUCGAACAAAAAUUACAAUUGAUAAAAGCGUUGAAUUGUUGAUCGAUGCAGAAAGAGAACAUUGGAGGCAUGUAUUAACAAGGAUAAUCGCUAUUGUUAAAAGACUUGCCAAAAAUACCUUGCCAUUUCGAGAAGAUAGUGAGAGGCUAAAUGUUGAGAAUAAUGGCCUAUUUUUACAAAUGGUGGAAAUGGUUAGUGAGUUUGAUCCAGUAAUGAAAGAGUACCUUCGGCAGGCUAAUGCGAGAGAGAUUCAAUACACGUAUCUUGGCAAAAAAAUCCAAAAUGAGUUGAUACAACUGUUGGCUAAUGAGGUGAGAAAUACAAUUGUUAAGAAAGUUAACAUGCAAAAUAUUUCACAGUUAUACUUGAUUGAACUCCAGAUGCAAGUCGUGAGGAGCAGAUGUCUUUAAUAGUACGAUUUGUAGAUGAUUCAGCAAACUUACCUACAGUUGAGGAACAUUAGCUUGAAUUUUUGAAGGUAGAUGACACAACAGGACUUGGACUUACAACUGAGCUUCAAAAGGCUUUGAUCAAAUUUGAUCUGGAUAUUGAUGACAUUAGAGGGCAAGGGUAUGAUAAUGGAUCUAACAUGAGCGGGAAGCACAAAGGUGUACAAAAAAGAGUACAUGAAAUAAAUCCCCGAGCUUUCUAUACUCCAUGUAGUGCUCAUAGUCUAAAUCUAGCAUUAUGUGAUAUGGUGAAUUGUUGUUCCAAAGCUGUAUCCUUCUUCGGAGUGAUACAACACAUCUACACUUUAUUUUCCUCUUUUACCAAGUGAUGAAAAAUUUUCAAAGAUAAUGUAAAAAGGGUUGACAGUGAAGCCAUUGUUACAAACACGUUGGGAAAGUCAUGUUGAGAGUGUAAAACCUAUAAUGGAGCAAACUGCACAAAUAAGAGAAGCCUUACUUGAUUUGGCAGAAUCUAACGAAGAUCCUAAAGUGAAGAGUGAAGCCGAGUCGUUAGCAACACAUGAACUUCAGAAUUUUGAGUUUUUGCUUGGCAUAGUAAUCUGGUACAGGUUGUUGCAUGCAGUCAAUAUUGUGAGUAAAUUUCUUCAAACUGAAUCCAUGGAUAUUGAUCGUGCUAUCGAUCUAUUGUAAGGACUUGUUUUAUUUUUUGAAGAUUAUAGAGAAAUCGAAUUUGCUGUUGCUAUGGAUGAAGCAACAAAAAAGGCAAACAAAAUGGGAAUUGAAGCUGUAUUUACAGAAAAAAGCAUAAUUCGAAGGAAAAAACAAUUUGAUGAAAGUGGUAAUGAUGAGGUAAAACAAUCAGCAAAAGAAUCUUUUAGAGUUGAGUACUUUGUUUUUAUAAUUGAUCAAGCUCUAUCUUCUCUGAGAGGUCGAUUUGAACAAUUCAAACAAUAUGAUGACAUAUUUGGAUUUUUGUUUAAUUUGAAAAAGUUAAGGGAUGCAACUUUAUCAAGUUUGUUGAACUCUUGUAUGAAUCUUGAGAAAUAUCUUGAAGAUGAUGGGCAUUCGGACAUCAGUGGAGAUGAUUUAUGUUUGGAAUUACAAGUCUUGAAGAUUUAUUUACCAAAUGAACCAACAAGAGCAAUUGAACUGCUGCAAUAUUUGAAGACUCACAAUAUUUGUUACCCAAAUGCUUAUAUUGCUUACAAAAUUUUGUUAACCAUACUGGUUACAAUUGCACCUGCGGCAAGAAGUUUCUCAAAAUUAAAGUUGAUCAAGACCCAUCUUCGAUCAACUAUGUCACAAGAAAGGUUAAACGGGUUGACUAUGUUAUCAA